GACAAUCCUAACAUAAAUCAAUUUCAAAAUUGACCCAAAAUUAAAAAUCCCCAAUUCAAAUUAUUUGAAUUUGAGCAAUCUCUGCAGUUUUAAUCAAGACCGUUGAUCAUAUAACGAUCAACGGUCAAGAUUACAUCAAUUUGUUUUCCUUUUCAAUAACAGCAAAAACUAAACCCUAAUCCUAUUCUCCAAGACAAUAAUAGCCGCUCCUUCUCCCUCUACACCAAAAGCCACCAUCACCGUCUGGCCCUUUUUCCUUUCUGUCAUUGCCUCGCCUCUCUAAAACCUCCGACGAACCGACGCCACAACACUCAACUGCCGCCGCCGCCUCAUCCUCUUCUCCAUCUCAAGCCGCGAUCAACAACAGUACCGUAACGCCGCUCUACUGUCGACUGGUGUCCAGCUAAACCAGGUCACCGACGAGCCACUAAUCGUCGCCUUCCUCCCCAUCGUUGCCUCCCAAUAGUUAAACCAGCGGCGCAACCACCAACGGCCAUCUAACAGCUGCCAUGCAGCUGUUCACCAACCCUCGUCGCCGUAGCGAUAGCCAAACCAAUGCCGCCUCAUUUGUCGGAAAAUGAUGGGUUCUUGGGAAUCCAUCCCAGGUUUUGUGUUCUGGAUAUGAUGUAACUUGAUUCUUCAAUCUAUGUGUUAUUAUCUAAUACAUUUGCUGGUUUGCAAAACUGAGAUGGUAUUGGAACUAUGAGGGAAAUGAUGCAUAGCAGGGAUGUCAAGAAAGUUUCUGAAUCCAGUUGGUUUUAAAUAUCAAGAAGGCUUUAAAUGUCAAGAAAAAGAAUCCUAUGGUGUAAUUUGGAUUCUUCUAUUUUGUAUGUAGUUUUUGUGUGUGCAAUUUAUUUGAUUAUAAUGUUUUGUCUCGCAAGAAUUGCAUGAGCUGUAUUUGGCCUUUUUGUUUUUGAAUUUUUUCUAUUGGUACUAUUCUCGGCUCGUGAUUGUAAAUAAAUCAUCUCAAAUUUAAGUGA